AUGGCGAGGGGCGAGAACAGCGAGUCGCACGGCAGCGGCAACGUCCCGGCGGCCCCCGCACCAGGGGCAGCGUCAGCGUCCUCGGGGAAGCAGGCGCCGGCGGCUGCGCGUGGCGCGGACGGGCAGUCGGUCGUGCGGCGGCUGCAGUCGGAGCUAAUGGCGCUGAUGAUGGGCGGCGACCCCGGAGUGUCGGCGUUCCCGGAGGGGGACAACAUCUUCCAGUGGGUGGGCACCAUCGACGGAUCCGCCGCCACCGCGUACGAGGGCACCUCCUACCGCCUCGCGCUCGCCUUCCCCAGCGACUACCCCUACAAGCCACCCAAGGUGCGGUUCGAGACCCCCUGCUUCCACCCCAACGUCGACAACCACGGCAACAUCUGCCUCGACAUCCUCCAGGACAAGUGGUCCUCCGCCUACGACGUUCGCACCAUCCUCCUCUCCAUCCAGAGCCUGCUCGGAGAGCCGAACAACGACUCUCCCCUCAACACACAGGCGGCCGCGCUCUGGGCGAAUCAAGAAGGUAAACUCCCCUCCUCCUUUGAACGUCCCAUGUUGAUUGAUCAUCAACCUGUUCUUGGUUCUGAAUCUGCAUGCUUCGUUCUCCUUCUUGUGUGCGCAGAGUUCAGGAAGAUGGUGGAGAAGCUCUACAAGCCGGCGUAA
rnacentral:rRNA from 1 species